AUUGAACGCUGGCGGCAUGCCUUACACAUGCAAGUCGAACGGCAGCACGGGUGCUUGCACCUGGUGGCGAGUGGCGAACGGGUGAGUAAUACAUCGGAACAUGUCCUGUAGUGGGGGAUAGCCCGGGGAAAGCCGGAUUAAUACCGCAUACGAUCUACGGAUGAAAGCGGGGGACCUUCGGGCCUCGCGCUAUAGGGUUGGCCGAUGGCUGAUUAGCUAGUUGGUGGGGUAAAGGCCUACCAAGGCGACGAUCAGUAGCUGGUCUGAGAGGACGACCAGCCACACUGGGACUGAGACACGGCCCAGACUCCUACGGGAGGCAGCAGUGGGGAAUUUUGGACAAUGGGCGAAAGCCUGAUCCAGCAAUGCCGCGUGUGUGAAGAAGGCCUUCGGGUUGUAAAGCACUUUUGUCCGGAAAGAAAUCCUUGGCCCUAAUACGGUCGGGGGAUGACGGUACCGGAAGAAUAAGCACCGGCUAACUACGUG
rnacentral:rRNA from 1 species